UACAGAGGGGGCAAGCGUUGUUCGGAAUUACUGGGCGUAAAGCGCGCGUAGGCGGUCGUAUAAGUCGGAUGUGAAAGCCCUUGGCUCAACCAAGGAACUGCGUCCGAUACUGUUCGGCUUGAGGCUGGUAGGGGGUAGCGGAAUUCCCGGUGUAGCGGUGGAAUGCGUAGAUAUCGGGAGGAACACCGAUGGCGAAAGCGGCUACCUGGGCCAGAUCUGACGCUGAGGCGCGAGAGCUAGGGGAGCAAACAGG
rnacentral:rRNA from 1 species